rnacentral:tRNA from 1 species
GGUCUACUGCGGUAACGCUCGCCCGGCCUUCUAAGCCGACGGCCGGGGGUUCGAAUCCUCCCUGGCGCACCA